rnacentral:lncRNA from 1 species
UCCUUCCUUUCUCGAAAGCACUGCGAAGGCUGCCGGCAGCGUGGUUGUUCCUUUCGCGAGUUGGUGUCUGGCGCACAGCGCGAACGUCUCAUGAGCAAGAAGCCGUAGAGACGAUGCUCUCAGUGUUGGACACCGAAGUGAGGCAACUCAUCGGGCACAACGCCAAAAUGUCCCUGUUGUGUCCUGGCCCUGGGUCACGCGUGUCGCGCCUUGACAGCCGUGACCUUGAACGACCUUGACCGGCCGGGCAGGGCCGAGCGGCCGAGGGUCAGUAUCGUCCGAGCGGCGCUGGUGUCAACACAGCUGAGUGCCGCGAGGUGAGGUGAGGCGUGUUCGCCGAGACGGUCCGGCCACAGUGAAAUAGUGAAAUAGUGGUGUAAUCGAUAAUAUGCGUGGCCAGUACGUGAGUGAGAUUGACCCUGUGCGCGACACCGAUUCAGAGACGCACAUAAGUUAACACCGUCGUGUCGGAUCGCUCGUACCGGUGAUGGGAGACAACGAGCAGCUGGAGCGUCUGAUGGCGCUCAUGGUUCAGCAGUCAGCAGGCUGCCAUGCUGGAGUAGCUCCUCCCCAGCCAGAUGCAGCUACCAGCUGCGCAAACUGUCUAGAGCGGCCAACCGGCUGUCGUCGCCUCCGCCGCUCCUAGGCUAGACUUCGGUCUCACAUGGACUGCCGUCGGUAGUGUUCACAUGCCAGCCCAUACAUUUUACCUGUAUUAACUUUUUAAUGUCUGUGCCUGUGUAACUAUUGUACGUGCCUGUACUUAACAGUGUUUGAAUUGUACAUCGUUCGCACAGUCUGUGGACCGUGGGGAACGCCGCUUGACAUGCAUUUUUGCACUUACCUGCAUUCCGUGUUAAAAGUAAAGUAAAGGGACUGAGCUGUCGUGCACCGGGAGAUAUUAUGGUCUCUUGCUAAACGACACAGUUGAAACUCAGCACGCUGGUCGGUACUGACUGGGGCGGCAAGCGAAAGGGUUUGGGCAGCUUUUGAAACAAAAUGUUCGCAUCGAAUGACUGCAUCGCAUGU